rnacentral:lncRNA from 1 species
UAUCACGGUAGAAACCCCAACCAACCGAAUCCACAUGCAUGCUCAUCUCAAAGCUUCUUGUUCAUGUAACUCCUAUCCAACACAUUAUAUAUGCAGCUUUGUACUUGACUUGAGCUAAGACCUUCCUUUUAUUCUAUACUCUACGGGCUUCCUUCUUAGUUUAACUUCUCGAUUCCUCGAGUUAGUUCUGUUGCAGUCAAUCUCCUGUUGCGCCUG